UACGUAGGGUGCAAGCGUUGUCCGGAAUUAUUGGGCGUAAAGAGCUCGUAGGCGGUCUGUCGCAUCGAAUGUGAAAACCCGGGGCUCAACCCCGGGCCUGCAUUCGAUACGGGCAGACUAGAGUUCGGUAGGGGAGUCUGGAAUUCCUGGUGUAGCGGUGAAAUGCGCAGAUAUCAGGAGGAACACCGGUGGCGAAGGCGGAUCUCUGGGCCAUUACUGACGCUGAGGAGCGAAAGCGUGGGGAGCGAACAGG
rnacentral:rRNA from 1 species